rnacentral:rRNA from 1 species
GCCUGAUCCAGCCAUGCCGCGUGUGUGAAGAAGGUCUUCGGAUUGUAAAGCACUUUAAGUUGGGAGGAAGGGCAGUAAGUUAAUACCUUGCUGUUUUGACGUUACCGACAGAAUAAGCACCGGCCAAACUCUGUGCCAGCAGCCGCGGUAAUACAGAGGGUGCAAGCGUUAAUCGGAAUUACUGGGCGUAAAGCGCGCGUAGGUGGUUCGUUAAGUUGGAUGUGAAAGCCCCGGGCUCAACCUGGGAACUGCAUCCAAAACUGGCGAGCUAGAGUAUGGUAGAGGGUGGUGGAAUUUCCUGUGUAGCGGUGAAAUGCGUAGAUAUAGGAAGGAACACCAGUGGCGAAGGCGACCACCUGGACUGAUACUGACACUGAGGUGCGAAAGCGUGGGGAGCAAACAGGAUUAGAUACCGUG